rnacentral:lncRNA from 1 species
UUACUCUUGAUUUUUGUAUGAACUUUUGAAUUGAGAAAGAGAGAACAUAACUUGGUGAAUGAAGUGAAGGUUUCGUUAUGCUGUCGAGCUGCUGAAUGGAUGUGUGACUUGGAUCUACUUUGGAUGCUCGCGUUUGGGCUUGAAGCCCUAGUUGGCCCAAGUAUUUCAAUUCAUACCCCUCCAAUUGAUGUUCAUACCCCUCCAAUUGAUGUUCAUACCCCUUCCUCCUCCAUUUUCA